AGAACGAACGCUGGCGGCAGGCCUAACACAUGCAAGUCGAACGCCCCGCAAGGGGAGUGGCAGACGGGUGAGUAACGCGUGGGAACGUGCCCUAAGGUACGGAACAACUCCGGGAAACUGGAGCUAAUACCGUAUGUGCCCGAGAGGGGAAAGAUUUAUCGCCUUGGGAUCGGCCCGCGUCUGAUUAGCUAGUUGGUAGGGUAACGGCCUACCAAGGCUACGAUCAGUAGCU
rnacentral:rRNA from 1 species